CUCCGUCAUACAUGAAACUAUUUUUCAUAUUGUUAGUACGCGGAUUUGGUAAACUUAGACCACUUGAAAUCUCCCGAAGGUUGUAAUUUGUUUUCUCACUUUUGUAUGAAAAAAGAUUAGUAAGUGAGUUGGAACCCAUUUUAUUUAACACGUCAUUUUUGCCUUAGCUUUCUUCCUUUCUGUUUUGAGUGGUUCCCAGCCUAGUGCAUGUAAAGCAAUAGAAUGAUUUACGUCAUUGUUCAUAUCCAUAAUAACUCUGGCAGCUCUAUUUUGUAGUUUUUGGAGUCGUUUUGAUUGCAUUUCACCAAAC